rnacentral:rRNA from 1 species
UACGUAGGGUGCAAGCGUUAAUCGGAAUUACUGGGCGUAAAGCGUGCGCAGGCGGUUGUGUAAGACAGAUGUGAAAUCCCCGGGCUCAACCUGGGAACUGCAUUUGUGACUGCACAGCUGGAGUGCGGCAGAGGGGGAUGGAAUUCCGCGUGUAGCAAUGAAAUGCGUAGAUAUGCGGAGGAACACCGAUGGCGAAGGCAAUCCCCUGGGCCUGCACUGACGCUCAUGCACGAAAGCGUGGGGAGCAAACAGG